rnacentral:tRNA from 1 species
AAGGCUUUAGCUUAAUGAAAGCAUCUGAUUUGCAUUCAGAAGAUGUGGGGUAACAUCCCGCAAGUCUUA